AUGCGCCUUUUUGAGGCCUUCCAUAAUAACACUUUGGAUGUGGCCCGACUUAACUAUGGUGUCAUUACCCUAAUACCUAAGAUGAAUGGAGCCAAGAAAAUUCAGCAGUAUAGGCCGAUUUGCCUCCUCCGUUGUCCAUACAAACUUAUCACUAAAGUUUUGGACAAUAGAGUGGCUAUAUUUGCUGACGAGCUUAUCAGUAAGCACCAAAAUGCCUUUAUCAAACACAUAAAUAUAAUGGAUGGCAUCCUUACCUUGCAUGAGGUUCUUCAUCACACGCACCGCAAAAAGAAAGUAGGGGUGGUGUUGAAGUUAGACUUCGAAAAGGCCUACGACAAAAUCAACUGGGACUUCCUGCUGGAUUGUCACAAGAUCGAGGGUUUUGGUCCUACAUGGUGCGGUUGGAUUCAUUUUUUUUUUGAAAAAUGGGACUGUUAG
rnacentral:rRNA from 1 species